rnacentral:misc_RNA from 1 species
CGCAGCCCAUUUCUCUUCGUUUUUUUUUUCUUUUAAUCUUUUUUUUUUGCUGUUUCGCUCGCGCGAGGUCGCUGCCGCUGUAUCUCUCCUCGUGGAAGUCACAAGAGCGAAUCUCGGCGAACAGGCGAACGGCCGAUUGUUUGACAGAGCGCACUCCUUCGCGAUGCUCACCAAGUUCGAGGCCCGCUCGUCCCGCGUGAAAGCGGUGGCGCUGCACAACAGCGCCACGUGGGUUCUGUGCGGAUUGCACAACGGUGCUGUGCAGAUUUGGGACUAUCGUAUGAGCACUUGUGUCGACACGUACACAGAGCAUGUGGGCGCAGUGCGCGGCGCGGACUUCCACGUGAAUCAGCCCCUCUUCGUCACUGGCGGCGAUGACUACACAGUGAAGGUGUGGAACUACAAGCUGCGGCGCUGCCUCUUUACGAUGAUGGGGCAUAUGGACUAUGUUCGCACCACCUUCUUCCACCACGAGCAGCCGUGGAUUGUGUCUUGCUCAGACGACUUCACCAUCCGUAUCUGGAAUUGGCAGAGUCGAAAGAGCAUCGCGUGCUUGCCGGGCCACAACCACUACGUUAUGUGCGCGCAGUUUCACCCGUUCAGCGACCUUGUUGUGUCGGGCAGCCUGGACAAGACAAUCAGAGUGUGGGACAUCUCGGCGCUGCGUCACCGGAAGGAGGAGGUGGGCAUCACGCACGAUCUCCUAGGUACGACGGAUGUGGUGGUGCGGUACGAGCUGGAGGGGCACGAGAAGGGUAUCAACUGGGUUGCCUUUCACCCGUGCGGCGACCUGCUGCUCUCUGCCGCCGAUGACCGCACAGUGCGCCUGUGGACGAUGUCGGGGACAUCGUGCUACGUCUCUCGCACGUUCACCGGGCACACCAGCAACGUCUGCUGCUCCGUCUUUUACAGGAACGACUAUCUCAUCUCCUGUGCAGAGGACCGCACAAUUCGCGUGGUGCACAUGUCCUCCGGCGUGACGGUGCAGACGUUCCGUCGCGAGGUCGAGCGCUACUGGAUCAUGGCAAGCGACUCGACGCGCAACCUGAUCGCCAUUGGUCACGACGCGGGUCUGCAGGUCUUCAAGCUCACUCGGGAGCGGCCCGCCUUCGCGAUCCACAACGCAACGCAGCUCUACUACACAUGCCAGAACAAACUCCACAUGUACAACUUCGAGACCGAGGAAGUCGCUUCCUGUGCUGUCACCUACCAGUUUUACCCGCCAACGGCGCUCUCGUGCUGCCCGACGACCGGAGGCGUGAUGCUCUCCUACGCUAACAGUGGCCCGCAAGUAGAGUGGAUUCCGAAGCCACUGGCGACAAGGACAUGCAACGUGGAAGCUACCAUGAAAGGCAUCGACGGCGUUUUCUUUGGUGGGCACAAGCUCGCCUACGUGGACGUCAACGGAAAGAUGUGCAUCCAAAACGUGGCCAAGGCCAGUGGAAAGCCGCAGCUGACCGACGUGUCGUGCAGUCGCAUUUUUCCUGGCCCUGUCGGCUGCGUCCUUUGCCAGAGCAACGACAGGAUCCUCCUGUACCAGGUGGCACAGCACGGCGUGGUGGCGGAAGCGACGGUGACAGGGGUGCGGUACGCUGUGUGGGACAAGGAUUUCUCCAAGGUGGCGCUCAUCGCCAAGAACACGGUGACCAUUAUGACGAAGCGCCUCAAGAUCAUCGCGUCGGUCGCCGAGUCGUCGGCCCGCAUCAAAUCCGCCGCCUUUGACGAGACGCGGGACGUUAUGUACUUCACCACAUCCAACCACCUCAAGUACUGCUACCUGCGCAACGGCGAGACGAGCACUAUCAGCACGCUCAAGAACGUCGUCUAUCUGGUGCGCGCCGUGGGCGACUCUAUCUACGUCUUGACGCGCGACGGUCGCGUUCUGCGCAAGGAGCUGGACAACGUGGAACUGAACUUCAAGCUGAAACUGCAGCAGCAGUCGUACCGCGACCUCAUCCGCAUUAUGCAGCAAGGCAAGCUCAAAGGUCAGGCCUUGGUCGGGUACCUGCACAAGCACGGACACUCCGAGAUCGCCUUGCACUUCGUCAGCGACUCGCUCACGCGCUUCAAUCUUGCCAUCGAGUGUGGCGCCAUGGACAUUGCCAAGGCGACCGCGAUUGAGCUCAACCAGCCAGCCAUCUGGCGUCGCCUCGCCGACACCGCCACAAGCUUUGGUGACAUCCAGCUGGCCCAGUUUGCGAGUGCCAAGGCUGGCCACUACUACGCCUCUGGCCUGCUUGCCCUUCUCACGGGAAACACCACCUCGGUGGCCAACCUUGUCAACACCACCCGCGACGACAACUUCAAGCUGCACUAUAGCAUGUACAUGGACGACGCGAAGCAACGCGUGGACAUCCUCUGCAAGGUUAACCAGCUGCCUCUGGCGUACGUGACGGCGAAGUCGCACGGUCUGGCAGAGAUGGCGGCGCAGGUGCUGCAACGGAUGGAGCCGGAGGUGGCGGCGCGCGUGCAGGCGCAGCGAUUCCAUCCAGCACCGCAGAAGCGAACGGUUGAGCCAGCCACGGAGAACUGGCCUAUGCUGCAGGUGGAGGAGUCCGUGUUCGCGCGGCUGUUGAAGGAACCGGGCCAUUUGGACAUCAUCGCCCAGCCGGAGCUCGACGAGGACGUCGCCGCCGGCACUGGGUGGGACGACGACGAGGACGACGGCACGUUACUGGGUAGCGCGGGUGCAGGCGCCGGCGAUGCAGGGGCGCUGGCCGACAAGGAUGAGAUGGGUGGCGGCUGGGACGACGACCUCGACAUUGACGUGUCCACUGCUCUCCCGGAUGCUGGCGGCGCGACUUCUGCUAGCAGUGGCUACGUCGUGCCGCGCGAGCAUCCGCCCAUUAUGCAGGCAUGGGCGGACGCCUACACACUUCCUGCUUUCCACGUCGCUGCCGGGUCUUUUGCGAGUGCGCUGCGCCUGCUGCAGCGCCAGAUCGGUUUGGCAGACCCGACGCCGCUGAAGCCUUACAUGCUGCAGCUGUGGGCAGCCGUUAACGUGUGCAGGCCUGCACCGAACGGCCUGUGUGUCGUGUUCGCCAUGCCCACGCCGCCGCCGGACAGCGAGACGGAGGCGCGCCACGCCCCCGCGCUUCCGGACUUCAUGCCUGCGCUCGCCGAGAAGCUGCGCUUCGGCUACCAGCUGUUCGUCGAGGGCAAGUUUUCGGAGGCGCUGGAUGUCUUCCGCAGCAUUCUGCACCUCUCUGUCGUCACCGUUGUCAAGGAUGACCAGCAAAAGGCAACGCUGCGCGAAAUCAUGGCAAUUGCCCCAGAGUACACGCGCGCUCUCGCGCUGCAGCUGCAGCUACGCACCCUCAACGCCUCCUCUGUGGAGUCGCUGCAGCUGGCCCUGUACUUCACACAUUUCCGCCUUCACCGCGCGCACCUUACACUGGCUCUAUCGCAGGCUAUGAGUAAGGCGUACAAGCAGAAGAACAUCAAGACCGCCGCUGAAGUGGCGCGCCGUCUGCUGGAGCAGGACCCACCCAAAAACAAGGCACAGCAGGCUGCUGCUAUUAUCGCCGAGGCAGACCGCAACCCCACUAACGCCGUCGAAAUAGACUACGACGAGCGCAACCCGUUCACCAUAUGCUCUGCCACCUACAAGCCCAUGUACAAGGGUGUCGUGAGCCCAAUGCGGUGCAGCUACUGCUUGUCGCCGGCUCACCCAUCCUACAAGGGAACCCUCUGCCCUGUGUGCAAGUUGGCCAAGAUUGGCGUCGACAGUGCAGGUCUGGUCAAUCGAAUUUGAUAGGUGGGCCAGGUGGAAGCGUCCUCCACUGGCUGGACUGUCCCCUCGGCGUUUCAAGAAUGCAUCUGUUCCCUCUCGUCGCCGGCUCCAUGGGCUGUGUGAGCCGCUCGUGGAACGAAGUAGUAUGGAGAAGCACGUGCGCGACGGCCAGCCGUCGCAACAGUAUAGGGCAGCUGUCUCCUUGCCCAGAUCGUUGGCAUACGUGUUGCACUGCGGUCCCCCGUCCCAUUUUCUUUCUUUCUGCGGCGAUGGUGCCUUCGUUUUGUGUGUCCUUUACGGCUGUCUUAGUGACGCGUUGAGUUGUGCGGGAUGGGAGAGAGGCAGAGUUGCUGGAGCAUCUACAUCGGUGUCUCCAUUCCUUUACUUCCUUCCUCCUCCUCCUCUCUCUGUCGGCGUUGCUUUUUGGGGUUCGUUCGCGUGUCUCAUGGCACAUGUGCAGAGAGCUGUGGAGGGGCGAUCAACUCACUAAUACGUAGCAAGGAGGAAUACAGCGUUGUUGUUGUUUUUUGCCAUUUUUCUUUUGGGUUUGCCGUCGCUGACGCAACAAGUGUUUUUGUGUCUGCCCCUCUCGUGUCGCGUCUCUUUCACAUGUCCUCCCGCGCUGCCCCCGCUCAAAAUUGGUCAGUGGUGAGGUGGGAGGGAAAGGAGGAAGAAAAGGCGCCACGCGCACGGCAGUAUUGAGCAACCGACUUUUUUUUUCGCUGUGCGUGUGUGUCCUUUCGUGCAAAUCCAAGCCACUCCAGGCUUCUUUGAUGACUGGUGGAAACGGUUAGCAG